GGCUGCCCACCAUCAGCCCAGAUGACGCCACAGGAGAGGCAGGGCUCAGCCUACUUGAGAUGAUAGUCAACAGCUGCUGCAGAUGCUCUUCACAACCAAAGAGCAAGAGAGAAUUCUGUUAGAGACUAAAAAAUAUUCCAGGAGCCGACGGGAGGCCUACACAGCUACAUGGGAUUCCCUUUGACUCGCCCCAUUGGGACUACAACAUGGCUGAAGGUAGGGAGAGCUUUAAAAUCUUAUCGCCAGGCUCUGGUCUCCAAGGCACCUCAAAAUGGCCCACUAAUUUGGCUAAGGUAAGAGAAGUAAUCCAGGGGCCAACCGAACUUCCCUCAGUGUUCCUUGAAAGGCGUAUGGAAGCCUUCAAGCGGUUCACUCUCUUUGAUCUUACCUCGGAAGCCCAGAACGCCUCAGUGGCCCUGGCCUUCAUAAGGCAGUCAACUCCAGAUAUCAGAAAGAAACUUCAGAGAUUAGAAGGUGUACUACAAGAGGGAGACAGUUAAGUGAUCUACUGAAAGAGGCAGAAGAAAGAGAAAGCAGGAGGGAUCAUAGACAAGAAAGAAAUUUGACUAGAAUCUUGAUCACAGUGGUAGGAGAGAAAGAAAAGACAGGACCUAGACAGGGAACCUGGGCAACAGAAGAAUAGAAUUAAGUGAGUUGGAGUACCGAGCCUUGGCAAAAGAGGCUCAGUUGUGUCAGACUGAAGUUACUUAUUUGGGAUACACCCUUCAAGACAGGAAGCGGUGGCUAAAAGAAGCCAGAAAAAAGACUGUAACUCAGAUCCCCACCCCAACUACACUAAGGCAAGUAAGAGAAUUCUUGGGCACCACUGGCUUCUGCAGGAUCUGGGUACCUGGGUUUGCGACCUUAGCUGCCCCAUUGUACCCCCCAACCAAGGAAGGAGAAGUGUUUGUGUGGACCCCAGAUCACCAUAAAGCCUUUGAAGAAAUUAAAAAUGCCCUACUAACAGCCCCAGCCUUAGCCUUGCCUGAUGAGAGAGCAGGGGUUGCCAGAGGAGUCCUUACUCAGACUUUGAGACCUUGAAAAAGGCCAGUGGCUUACCUAUCCAAAAAAUUAGACACCAUUACAAGCAGGUGGUUUUUCUUACCUGAAAGCUAUUGCUGCCAUAGCGCUACUUGUCAAGAAUGCUGAUAAGCUCACUCUGGGACAGCAAAUAACUGUAGUGGCACCCAGAACUCUUGAAAGCAUUAUCCAACAGCCCCCUGACCGAUGGAUGACCAAUGCUCAUAUGACACAUUAUCAGAGCUUUUUGUUGACUGAAUGAGUGACCUUCGCCCCCCCUGCUGUCCUCAAUCCCGCUACCCUACUGCCUGAGACUGACGACUGUUCACCUACUCAAUCACUAUGCUGACAUUCUGGCAGAAGAAACUGGUACUAGAAAUGAUCUGAAGGAUCAGGUUUGGCCUGGGAGUUCGAGCUGGUACAUGGAUGGCAGUAACUUCCUGGUUGAAGGUAAGCAGAAGGUGGGGGCAGCAGUGGUAGACAGGAAGCAAGUGAUCUGGGCCAGCACCCUCCCUGAAGGAAAGUCGACCCAGAAAGCCGAACUUGUAGCUUUGAUACAAGCUCUACAAAUAGCAAAGGGGAAGUCUAUCAACAUUUAUACUGACAGCAGGUAUGCAUUUGCCACUGCACGGAGCAAUAUACAAACAAAGAGGGUUGUUGACAUCUGCAGAGAAAGACCUAAGAUGCUGUGGCUAAAUGAAAUCAGAUGGCAGAUCUAACCGCCAAACAGGCGGCCCAAGGAGCAAUGAUUCUGGCAGUCAAGGAGCCUAAAGGUUAUUAUGAUGUCAGAGAGACCAUCUUUAGUCCCUGAGGACUAUCAAGUUAUGGACAAAUUAGGACUGGUAGAGGAAACCCUGUAUAGGGUAAUUGAAACAGAAAAAGGAAAACUAGUCCUCCCAUGGGAAGAAGGACACAAACAAGUAUGUUACCAACUGACAUUACUUGACCCACUUGGGGGCUAAGAAAUUAAAAGGUGUGGUUAGGUUCUCUGACUACUAUGUUAUAGGACUCCCACUUGGAAGAAGAAAUACUCAAAGCUGCAACGCCGGUGCUAUGACUAAUACAGGACACUUCGUGUAUACUCUUGAGAAGAGAGGCUCAGGGGCAACUGGCUGGGGGCCUAUUAGGAGGUAGAGUUUAUGGAAAUUAAGCCAGCUAGACAUGGCAACAAGUACUUAGUGUUUAUAGACACCUUUUCAGGCUGGGUAGAAGCUUUUUCUACCAGCACUGAGACAGCCAAUGUGAUGGCCAAGAAGAUCCUAGAAGAAAUCUUCCCGAGGUUUGGGAUACUCAUGGUAAUCGGGUCCAAUAAAAGACCUGCCCUUAUUGCCCAGGUAAGUCAUGGACUGGCCAAGAUAUUGGGGAUUGAUUACAAGUUAACUUGUGCAUACAGGCCCCAAAACUCAGGACAGGUAGAGAGUAAAAAGAGACCCUUACCAAAUUGACAGCGGAGACUGGCGCUAAUGAUUGGAUAGCUCUCCUACCCUUUGUGCUCUUCAGGGUUAGAAACACCCCUGGACAGUUUGGACUGACCCCCCUAUAAAUUACUCUACGGGCCCCCCCCUCCACUGGUAAAAAUAGCCUUUGGACAUAGUGCUAACAGACUGCUUUCCCAGCCUUUGUUCUCUAGGCUCAAGGCACUCGAGUGGGUGAGACAGCUAUCGUAGAAGCAGCUCCAGAAUGCCUACUCAAGAGAAGACCUGCAAGCCCCACAUCUCUUCCAAGUUAGAGAUUUGGUCUACAUUAGAUGCCGACACACAGAAAACCUUGAGACUCUAUGGAAAGGCCCUGCUCAUGUACUCUUGAACACCCUAAUUUCUACCCUAUGUGACCCCUUUUUGAUUUUCCUUCUGCUUUUAAUUAUAGGUCCGUGUGUGUUAAAUAGGCAACUUGCCAUUAUUAGAAGAUGAAUUAGUGCAGUGUGGCUUUUAGUUUUGAGACAACAGUACCAUGCCCUAAAGGAUCAAGUGUGUCAGGGAGAAGAUAGUGUCUAGUUCUAAGAUUAGAAUUACUAACAAGUAGAAGUGGGGAAUGAAAAAGUAUAAUGUAAAAGCAAAAUUCUAGGCCUUUAGGCCCAGGCUUGAGAAUGUGACCUCUGUGACUCAGAGCUCCAAGGUAUGCUAAUCAUAAAACAGAUGGCGACAUUCCUCCACCCACCUGCUUCCUGGGUUCAAGGAGUGUUCAUUCAAAGUCACCCUGACCCACCCUGGCCAUUGCUGGAACCCACUAUGCAAAUGUGCUAUUGUUAGGGGCUCUUAGAAACUGUCUUGAGAAAUAACCCACACAAUUACCAGGUAUUCCUUGUGACUCUUGUGACUUUGCACUUCCUUGUGACUCUUAACUGGUAUUUUUGGUAUUUUCCGACAACGCCCUUCCCACCCCCUUGAGUUGUGGUUUCUUCCUUUAAAUACCCCCU
rnacentral:lncRNA from 1 species